GGAGGCGUCAGACGGUAUAAAGACAGAGGAGGAGAGAGCAGAACCAGGCAGAACAUCAGAACAUCCAGCAGGAGAACAUCCAGCAGGAUUACAUCCACCAGAACAUUCACCAGAACCUCUAGCAGAACCUCUGAACAUCUGGACCAUGAAGACUCUGCUGCCUCUCCUGACUCUCUUCUGUCUUCUGACCUUCAGCUCCUCCAGUGUGUUCGCUCCACGGGAGGUCCUGAAGGAAUGCUGUCCCGGCCACAAUAAGACUCUGGUUCCUAAAGACAACAUAAAAGACAUGGUGAUGACGGACAGCAGCUGUGCAGUCAAAGCAGUGAUAAUCACGACGACAAAGGAGAGAAAGUUGUGUGUGGAUCCCGACUGGGUCUGGUGUAAGAGACGACUGGCUGAAUUCAGAGCAGCUCAGACCGCCUCACCGAAACCCUGAACGUCUUUAAAAAGGAAUUCUGUCUUUUAUGAGUCUGUUUACUGAUAAUUGAUAGAGAAGGUUUUAGUUUGUCUUCACAUUUAAAUCACAUUUUACUGAGUUUCUCCUCAAAUAACAAGUUUGACUUGUUAAUUCUGAAGGUUUCAGGAAAAUAAUUCAAAUAUAUUUUCUGUGGUUCUAAAUAAAAACUUUAUUUUUCUA